rnacentral:rRNA from 1 species
GACGAACGCUGGCGGCGUGCUUAACACAUGCAAGUCGAGCGGGUAAGGCCCUUUCGGGGGUACACGAGCGGCGAACGGGUGAGUAACACGUGGGUGACCUGCCCUCAGCUCUGGGAUAAGCCUGGGAAACCGGGUCUAAUACUGGAUAUGACUCCAUGACGCAUGUUGUGGGGUGGAAAGCCUUGUGCGGCUGAGGAUGGGCCCGCGGCCUAUCAGCUUGUUGGUGGGGUGANGGCCUACCAAGGCGACGACGGGUAGCCGGCCUGAGAGGGCGACCGGCACACUGGGACUGA